AGUAAAUAUUUUGGAAUGCAUUUUAAUCUCCCCCAAGCCUGUAGGCAGAUGCACUGGUGUGGAACGAGCACCAGGCUGAGAACCAGGAGUCCUGAGUUCUGGGCCCAGAUCUGUUGUUAAUGGUUUGUGUGACCUUGGACACAUUACUAAUCCUUUCCGGAUCUCUGAGACCUAUUCAGGCUUUGGGCUUACGAAGCUAUGGCUUGAAAAAACAAGUCACUGCCUCUCAAACUUCUAAUCUCCUUUCAAUGUAGCUUAGUCUCUUUACUUAUUCUGAGCAAAAACACACACGCUUUAGAGCCCCUUCACUGCUGGGCAAGCGGUCAGGACUCUGUUAAUGAUCAAACUGGAGCACCGUGCAGCUGGUCUUGCUGGUCACAUGGAAGCUCAGAAGAAAUGAAGCCACUGGGAAAAACCACUGAUGCCGUGACCUUCUGCUCACAGGGCCCCAGUGCAGGCCGAAGACAGCAGCGGCUUUCUUUUCGCUGCCUCUGAGAAGACCCUCGGGAGAGGCUGGCCUGGGGUCUUUGCAGCAAGUGCGCGUCUGGCUCCAGGCUGCUGUGAUGGAUAGAGGCAAUUUCCCCGCGAAAUCGGCUGCAGAAUUGGCAGUUGCACGGGACAUCCAUUACAUCCCUGCCGGAGAGAGAAGCUUUUCCAGAGCGCCUCAGGACGGAGCGAUGCCGCUCACAAGGGGGGUGGGGAAGCAGAAAUAACCUAAAGGGAAAGGCGUCUAUUUUAAUUUUUUUGCAGAGCUGCGUCUCCUACAUAUGGGUCCAGCCCACUCUUGUGAAGCGGCUCCUUUUGGAAAACAAGGGGACUUGCGAACGGCUUUGUUAAAGAUAAGAAAACUGAGGCACAGGGCAAUGAGGUGACUUGUCCAAGGUCAUCUCUCAGUAAGAAGAGGAGCCAGAUUCAAACCCAUGCUCUCUGGAACCCAUGUUCAUGUUCCUAACGCUCUUUGCUUCUGUCUCUUGCUCAUCUUGGGAAGCCAGACAACUCCCAGAGAUGUUCUUUCCCCUUACAGUUUAUUACAUAAUAUUGAGUUGAGAUCCCUGUACUCUACGG